rnacentral:rRNA from 1 species
GACGAACGCUGGCGGCGUGCCUAAUACAUGCAAGUAGAACGCUGAAGAGAGGAGCUUGCUCUUCUUGGAUGAGUUGCGAACGGGUGAGUAACGCGUAGGUAACCUGCCUUGUAGCGGGGGAUAACUAUUGGAAACGAUAGCUAAUACCGCAUAACAAUGGAUGACACAUGUCAUUUAUUUGAAAGGGGCAAUUGCUCCACUACAAGAUGGACCUGCGUUGUAUUAGCUAGUAGGUGAGGUAAUGGCUCACCUAGGCGACGAUACAUAGCCGACCUGAGAGGGUGAUCGGCCACACUGGGACUGAGACACGGCCCAGACUCCUACGGGAGGCAGCAGUAGGGAAUCUUCGGCAAUGGGGGCAACCCUGAACGAGCAACGCCGCGUGAGUGAAGAAGGUUUUCGGAUCGUAAAGCUCUGUUGUAAGUCAAGAACGGGUGUGAGAGUGGAAAGUUCACACUGUGACGGUAGCUUACCAGAAAGGGACGGCUAACUACGUG